UGUAACUGACACGUGGGCCCUAUAGUUUUUAUUAUUUUUCUAGACUAAAUUGUCACGUCAACGCCACGUGGGAUAAAGACCCAGUCAAACAAGUUACGUAGGCACCACGUUAGCCAAAACCAUCAUCCAAACCGUCCUAAGACCUCGUGCGCUUUAGUUUUAUAAGUUAAGGGAUGCAUUGCAUCCGGUUUUUGUGGUUCAGGGUGUUUUUGAAAACUCGACGACAAGAUAAGGGACGUAAAGUGUACUUUUGCAUAGUUAAAUGCCCAUCGCAGCUUAUAAUUCUACAACGAGUGGGCUGGCCCACAUUGAGCCCAACCGGUGCCACCAUCGACGACCUCCGCCUCUCGCCCAGCCGCCCUCAUCGCUUUCCGGUCGCCGUCGCUCCGAAACCCCAUGAACCUUUCCCCCCCUCCCUUCGCGCCGCCGCCACCCCUAUCCGCGCCAUCACCGGGAGUGAGAAAGGCGACAGCUGCAGCAGGAGCAGACCGCGCGAGAGAGCGAGAGGGAGGAAGGUAUGGGAAGCGGCAGGAAGCGAGGGCGCACUGUCAGGAGCCGGCCAGAUGAAAGGUCCUGAACGCAGCGCCGCCACUUCAAGCAGGGGCGCGAGAACAUCUUGAAGCACAAACCCCAGCGCCCUCCUGUGGCGAAGGAGCCGAAGGAAGCGGUGAUGGGUGCAGGGGAACCCCUCGUGGUAGCCCUUCACCACCGAGAACCCGGCUUGGAGGACUACUUACAAGAUUUACCUUAUGGUAAUAGAAGCCUAAAGCUGGGACGCACUGAAUCGAUUUACGGGUGGGGGCAUUCGGCGGUUGACAGAGUAAACAGGGCAGCGGCACAGCAGGGUAGCUUAGACAGCUUGGACAAGGCAGAGUUUGGUGUGGUGAAGUGGUUUAGAUGACUACGGGAACGGGCUGGCAGAAGCAGAACCUGGGGAAAAUCCCUGGAAAAGCUGGAAUUGGAAGGUAGCUACUGAAAGUCUGAAAUUUAUACCUACUUCUCGGUCCUGUUCGUAGAAUUCAGAUUUCAGAAGCUGGGAGAGUGGGAGGUUGAUACCGAUGGGCCAGUGUGCCACUGUGCGCGAUGUGCACUAGCUGUAUGAUAUGCGUGCGUCCUUGUUGUGCUGGACCGAUAAACACACAAAGUGUAGUGCAAUGUCACCAAUUGUGAGCAAGCCAGGCAUGCUUGUAUGUAAGGAAUGCUGAAAAAAGCACUCAUGGACUAGCUGUACAUGCAGUAUGCAUGUUUCUAUGACCACUAAGAUGUGAUUUGAAAUAUAGUGAUAACCAAUAAUCAAUGACAAUUCUUCUCGACACUAA